rnacentral:tRNA from 1 species
AGUUCUAUACUUUAAAAUAAAAGAUUUGAUUUGCACUCAACUAUUGAAUACUAUUCUAGAACUA